rnacentral:tRNA from 1 species
GGAGGAAUAACCCUAAUUGGUAAGGGCCCUGUCUUGAAAACAGGUGGGAGAAAUCCCUUGCAGGUUCGAGUCCUGCUUCCUCCG